rnacentral:rRNA from 1 species
CCUACGGGGGGCAGCAGUGGGGAAUAUUGGACAAUGGGGGGAACCCUGAUCCAGCCAUGCCGCGUGUGUGAAGAAGGCCCUCGGGUUGUAAAGCACUUUCAGUGAGGAAGAACGCCUGGUGGUUAAUACCCAUCAGGAAAGACAUCACUCACAGAAGAAGCACCGGCUAACUCCGUGCCAGCAGCCGCGGUAAUACGGAGGGUGCGAGCGUUAAUCGGAAUUACUGGGCGUAAAGCGCGCGUAGGUGGCUUGAUAAGCCGGUUGUGAAAGCCCCGGGCUCAACCUGGGAACGGCAUCCGGAACUGUCAAGCUAGAGUGCAGGAGAGGAAGGUAGAAUUCCCGGUGUAGCGGUGAAAUGCGUAGGGAUCGGGAGGAAUACCAGUGGCGAAGGCGGCCUUCUGGACUGAAACUGACACUGAGGUGCGAAAGCGUGGGUAGCAAACAGGAUUAGAUACCCGUGUAGUC